CCCAACGCUCCCUCAAGCUACAACAACACCUCUGACCUUUAUAAAGGGCCUGACGGCUUAUGACGGCAACUGUCUCUAUCGCUCUUCUUCAUCUUCCGCCCCUCUCUCUCUCCUGCUGCCACUCUCCCACCCUCUGUCUCUCUAGCCAAACUUGAUGGCUCUCUCUCUCUCUCUCUCUCUUUCUCUCCCCUAUCGCUCCAUUGCUCCAAUACGAUGUCAUAUGAGUCUCUUCUCUUUCAAUCUCUCUCUGACUGGCCCCUCUCUCUCAAACCCUCGAUGACGCUCUCUCACAAACCCUCGCUGACCUGCUGCCCCUCUCUCUCAAUCUCUUUGAAACCCACCCCUCUCUCUCAAUCUCUUUGAUACCCACCCCUCUCUCUCAAUCUCUCUCCCACCUACCCCUCUCCGCCCCUCUCUAUACAUCUCUCGCUGCCCCUCGCUCUCAAUCGCCCUCUAUGCCCAUCUCACUCUCUUGAAAUACAACCUAAAACAUGAAAAAUUUCUCAAAAUUUCAUAAAUUUUCUAUGCUCAAUUGCUGCUGCUGCAAAGACAUUGGGACAAUCUUUGGUGCAUUGAGGUUCAUCCGAGGUUUAGAAUAAAUCUCGACAACCAAUUCCCACUAUUAUUUUGUAAACGCAGACCACAAUGUGGUCAAAUGCACGUCUUUAUCGCAAAAACACGAGAUAACUACAAUAAGCCUUUCUACAAAUGCUCCAACUGGAAGUUAUGUGACAUUGAUUCAUGAAAAUAAUGUAAAAUCAUAUUAUUGUUCAAUUGUAUGCACAAACUUAAAACCUUUUAUAUGUUUGUGUUAACCACUAGAAUGAAGUGGGAUGCGGCUAUCUAGUGUGGUGUGACGAGAUACUAGGCUAAGCUAGAAAACCCAUGGUCAGAAGGUUCGUGUCACAGAGGCCAGAUGUUUGUGAGGCCAGAUGUUUGUGUCACGAGAUACUAGGCCAAGCUAGAAAACCCAUAGUUAGAAGGUUCGUGUCACAGAGGCCAGAUGUUUGUUAGGCCAGAUGUUUGUGUCACUAUUGGAGUACAUCCUGCUCUAUAUGAAGAAGAGAAGACCAAAGUUGUUGCUAUGGUUCUUGAGAAAGUAGUCGUUGUAAAAUUUAUUAUUGUAUGCGCAAUUGUUCUUUUACUGUUGAUGCUCACCAUUCUUUUUCUUUUGAAUGGAAUGGGUAUUUGUUUCAUGGUAUCA